GCGGAGUUGCUGGAAUUGGCAGACAGGCAUGACUAAGGAUCAUGUGUCUCAAAGACGUGUGGGUUCAAGUCCCAUACUCCGCACGA
rnacentral:tRNA from 1 species